CGGAAAUUCGAUUUAUUGGGUUUUAAGGGGUGCGUAGGCGGUUUGAUAAGUCAGCGGUGAAAUAAUUUCAGCUUUAACUGAAAGGGUGCCCGUUGAUACUGUCAGGCCUGGAAAUAUGGUUGCUGUGGGUGGAAUGUGUGGUGUAGCGGUGAAAAUUGCUUAGAUAUGACACAGAACACCGAUCGCGAAGGCAGCUUACCAAAGCAACCAACUGACGCUCAUGGCACGAAAGCGUGGGGAUCAAACAGGAUUAGAUACCCUGGUAGUCCACGCCGUAAACGAUGAUCACUCGGAUGUUGGCGAUAACACAGUCAGCGUCUUUAGGGAAACUAUUAAGUGAUCCACCCUGGGGAGUACGGGUCGCCAAGAUUGAAACUCAAAGGGAAUUGACGGGGGCCCGCCACAAGCGGGAGGAGCCAUGUGGUUUAAUUCGAUGAUACCCGAGGAACCUUACCCCGGGCUCGAACGGUGCAGGAAUACCGUCCGAGAAUGAUGUAGCUAGCAAUAGUCUGUAUCGAGGUGCUGCAUGGUUGUCGUCAGCUCGUGCCGUGAGGUGUCGGCUUAAGUGCCAUAACGAGCGCAACCCUUGUCGUUGGUUGCCAUCAGAUAAUGCUGGGAACUCUAGCGAGACUGCCACCGUAAGGUGUGAGGAAGGGGGGGAUGACGUCAAAUCAGCACGGCCCUUACGUCCGGGCCGACACACGUGUUACAAUGGUAGGUACGGAGGGCAGCUACCCAGCAAUGGGGUGCGAAUCUCAAAAGCCUAUCUCAGUUCGUAUCGGAGUCUGCAACUCGAAUCCGUGAAUUGGGAUUAGUUACUAAUCGCGCAUCAACCAUGGGACACUCAUCGUUUCCCGGUCUUUGUACACUCCCUCAUUCCACACAGUAAACGAAGCGCAAAUUCACUGACGUCGUUUACACGUCUGACUGGGAAACCCGGGCGGGGGC
rnacentral:rRNA from 1 species